rnacentral:snRNA from 1 species
GGAUGUGAGGAUCAUCUGACAUUAGCAUCUUGUCACCCUAUUGAUUUGACUGAUCUGGCUGGUUAGGCAGGUGUCUCCUUCCUUCCUCCAUGCUCCAUCCCAAAGCUGCACACUUCUGUCAAGGGUAUAGUAGUAGCUGUUCUCCCUUGUUAGAACCUCCAAAUAAGCUCUCAAGGCCUAAAUUUUUACAAAUCACAGUAUGCGUAGAAAAAGCAGGCAUACAGCACACUGAAGACAACUUAGAGGAGAUUUAGGGAGCCUC